rnacentral:tmRNA from 1 species
GGGGAUGCAAUGGGUUCGACAGGGAGGAAACGAUCCGGGCCGCGAGCCGAGGCGCCUGACCUCGCUAAAACGGGCAAUGCCAAUAAGUGGCAACACCUUCACUCGCGCCCCUGUGGCGCUUGCUGCGUAAGUAACGCGGCACGUCCUACCGGACCUCGCCCUGGUGGGUGCGGCUAGGGCGUCGAAAUGCCAGGGUGCUCUUGCCCCGAACGCCGGCUAAGGGCAGGAAAAGACGCCAGUCGGCUGGCCCGGGGGAACCCUGCCGGUAGGGGUUCCUCGGGCGACAGCAAAAUACCGGCUACGCUCGUAGAAGCCCGGUAGGGAACUCUCUGGACAGGGGUUCGAUUCCCCUCAUCUCCACCA